UGUCACGGUUUUCAAACAGAAAUCGCAGUGGUGGGAUUUAUUAUCUCUAACGUCACUUGUUAAAUUUGACACUAUGCAAAUGAUUAUAUAAAGGGUACCAAAGGGGAAGCUAGGGAAGAUGGAGUGAGGCGAGGCGGAUGAGCGAACGGACAGAUGGACUCCACAGAGUGCUAAUGGAAGGACUUUCGGUGGAAGGAGGAUUAUUCCGCCUUUGUGGGUUUCUAUAGGGUUUCUGUAGGAAGCAGGGCAAACGCAUCAUAACCACCACCUCUGCCUGCAAUAAGUCCAGCAAUAUGGUUGAAAAGUUGAAAUAUACAUUUAUUUUAUUGGCCAACCUGUGUCAGGUAGCCUAGUUAAUUUCCCUGAAUACUUUCAGUAUUUAUUCAAUCUGAUUCUAAAUGGUUCAAAGCACACGGUAUUCCUGAAAUGAAAGAGAACUUUUGAGAAGUUGUGAAUAACGGCUGUCACUGUUUUCAGAGCUCCUGAUGGAGGCUGGGUGUUUCACAUAUUAUGGAAUUUAAUCUGUACACCUGUCCUACAAGAGUCAAUUUCUUCUGUUUGAACUGAAGGGACAACCGAGAUACCAUGAUGCAGAUGAGAAACCCCAGCCUGCUCCCUAAUUUGUCAUUUCAAGAAUGGAUGUCCUAACUCUACUGAAGAAAGAGAACUUGCAUAGCUUGUAAACUCAAUGAGCCAUUAAAUAGGUGACAAUAAUCUUGAUCGAAGUUUGGAAUAUUUAAUUAGUGCAAAAAAUACUCUUAGCCAGCGUGCUCAAUUACUUCCACGGAUACUCCCCAAAAUAUCAACCAACUAUUUUGCAUGUCUAUGAAAUGCUUUGGAAGACAUUUAAGACUGAAAAAGGAGAUAAUAUUUCAUCUAUUAAUCGAGGACUUGACAUGCUUGUACAUGUCCAGUAAUAAAGUUUCAAAGUGAAUUUAGUUUAGAUCCUUGAGACAUUUUUAAAGGUGACAUUUCUAUCCUUAAGGCACUAUUUGUUGCAUGUAUUUGUUCGUGUGGUUUGUCCCCACAAUUUUUUAACAGAUGCAUACCACCGUAAGAGAUAAAUUAUCACAAUUUAAUUAUCUACUUUCAUAUUUUUGGGCAAUUAUGUUGCUUCAAUUUUUCUCUCAUAAAUAGGAAAUUUGUGUUGAAAAUAGUUUGUUAGCAUGUGUUUUUGAGUAAAUCUUUGGGAGUUAUAAUUACUACAUUGUUAAGUAUGAAGAUCUUUUAAAAAGAGAUUUCACACAUGUUUCUAGAUUAUGUAGUAAUCCAAAAAGAAAAUAUCUUCUUAAAAAUACAAUGAUUUGUACAUACCAGUGGGGUAUAACUUCAGGACAAAAACUGCAUCAAAAUUGCAUUAAAAAUGAUGUGUUAACCCUUUCUAUUAAUCAUAAUUUUUGGUGGCCAUGUUGGUAUUGCUAUUCUGAGACAGGUCUGGGAGUAAUGGGGAUAAAGAAAAUAAGCGAGUGACAUUCUAGUACUACCAUUUUUAGUGACCUUGAGAAUCAGAACUCUCAAUAUAAGGAAAAUACAAGAGUUUAACUAAAAAUUCUAUAGGCUGAAUUUGUAGUAUAAACUCAUGUGUAUUUUUAAUCCUAAAAAACAUAUUCUUCAUUUGUCACUGAAAAGGCCUAGAAACAUCCAUCAAUCCAGUAACGAUGAGCAUUCCUAGCCCCCACGUUAUGUUCUUGAACGAUAAUUGUCCACUUAAAGGAACCAGUUCUCCUUGGAGAAAUGGCUGAUUCCACAACAGGGAUGGGCACUAGACAAGACCAUCCUAGGACAUCUUGUCAUAUUAGAUAAUAAAGCAACUAUGGAACACUACCCGAGUCAGGUCCAAGUGACUCGGGAGCCAAUGUCAAAAGAUUCCUUUUGCAAAAGAUGAAGAAAUGUGAGACUCAUUAAGAAUAACUGCAAUAAAUGUAAGCACAUAAAAUACGUUUGAAUUUUUGACUUCAUAAUGAUGCUUCAUGAAGUUAUUGUAACGACUAGAUGGCUAUCUUAUUAUUUAAAAAUUGGUUAGUGAAGAGGAUGAAUUAAAUAUUUACACUGCCUUUCCUAUAAAAACUAUAGCACCAAGAUAACCCAAUAUGAGAUCAGGGGAAAUAAUUAUUAAUGGAGGUAUUCCAGCUAAUAAAAGAAUAAGAAAAUAACAGAAUAUCACCAUAAUGAAUUUAUGAUUCUAGGUAGUAAGCAUUAUUGGCAGCUAAUAUUACAAAAGGAUAGGUACUCAGAUAGUAUGUCGCUUCUGAUGGCAGAAUGGAAAAUCUAUUAUAAAAUAGUGUUGAC